rnacentral:rRNA from 1 species
UACGUAGGCAGCAAGCGUUGUUCGGAGUUACUGGGCGUAAAGGGCGCGUAGGCGGCACGGCAAGUCGGGAGUGAAAGGCCUGGGCUCAACCGAGGAACUGCUUUCGAGACUGCCGAGCUAGAGUGCGGAAGGGGCAUCUGGAAUUCCCAGUGUAGCGGUGAAAUGCGUAGAUAUUGGGGAAGAACACCUGAGGCGAAGGCGGGAUGCUGGGCCGACACGUGACGCUGAGGCGCGAAAGCCAGGGGAGCAAACGGG